UGUCCAUGAUAAGGGAAUGGAUGGUUGAUCAGAGAACGUACAUUUUAUAAAUGGUGUAUGUCAAUUGAUCCACAGUCCCUACCCAUCCAGUGACUUCUC
rnacentral:miRNA from 1 species